AACAACAGGGAUAUUCUCAGUAACGGCGAGUGAAGAGAAUACAGCCCAGCGCUGAAUCGUGUUGCUUGAAAGAGUGAUACGACAUGUAGCGUGAAACUGGCGGCUGUUGAUGUUGUCGAUGUGUGUAAGUCUUCUUGAGCGGGGCUCAGUCCCAGAGAUGGUGCUAGGCCCGUAUCGCGCAUGACAAGUACAGCAACGCCCGCUUGUGGAGAGUCAGGUUGUUUGGGAACACAAUCUAAAGCCGGUGGUACACUCCAUCGAAGGCUAAAUAUGACCACGAGUCCGAUAGCGAACAAGUACCGUGAGGGAAAAUUGAAAAGCACUUUGAAGAGAGAGCGAAAUAGUGCGUGAAACCGCUUAGAGGCAAGCAGAUGGAUUCUCGAAGGUGUGCAUAGGAUUUAUUUCCUAGUUCUCACGCCACCACUGUUGUUGACGUGCACCAUGCGCUGACAUUUGGACGCUUGAGAUUGGGACUUGUGCCUGCUUGAGACGCUCGGUGUUGGACGUGUUGAGUUGUUGUGGGAUGCAAUAACAGAGCAGAGCAUUUGUCGUCGCUGUAAAGCGCCGACUGUGGCCGCUUGCUGAUGCAUUGUUGUUGUGGCGAAACGCAAGCUUCGACAUGCGGCAUGUGUUGCAAAUCGGCUAUUAGUACCGGCAAGACGACUUUAAGACU
rnacentral:rRNA from 1 species